UACGAAGGGGGCUAGCGUUGCUCGGAAUCACUGGGCGUAAAGGGUGCGUAGGCGGGUCUUUAAGUCAGGGGUGAAAUCCUGGAGCUCAACUCCAGAACUGCCUUUGAUACUGAAGAUCUUGAGUUCGGGAGAGGUGGGUGGAACUGCGAGUGUAGAGGUGAAAUUCGUAGAUAUUCGCAAGAACACCAGUGGCGAAGGCGGCUCACUGGCCCGAUACUGACGCUGAGGCACGAAAGCGUGGGGAGCGAACCGG
rnacentral:rRNA from 1 species